rnacentral:lncRNA from 1 species
AAGCCUUGCCCCGCGCAAGCACAAAAAGCCUUGCCCCGAGCAAGCACUCAAGAAAGCCUUGCCCCAAGCAAGCACCAAAGCCUUGCCCUGCGCAAGCAAAAAAAGCCUUGAUCAUAUACUCAAGCGUAAACCGUUAUAGUAUCACCCAGGGACAUACAAAAAUCCCACAUCAUUUUUGACACUCCCGAGAAUAUCACAACCUAACUUUUUAAGUUAGUUGUGCUCGAGGUUUAUAAUCCUCGAGAAUUUCCCAUUAUAACUUUUUAAUUUAGUUGUGCUCGAGAUUUACAGUCCUCAAGAAAAUCACAACCCAACUUUUUAAGUUAGUUGUGCUCGAGGUUUAUAGGUCCUCGAGAAUGUCACAUUAUCAUUUUUUAAGAUUAGUUGUGCUCGAGGUUUACAGUCCUCGAGAAUGUCACAUCAUCACUUUUUAAUCCCUUAAAUAC